rnacentral:rRNA from 1 species
CACGUAGGCACCAAGCGUUGUCCGGAUUUAUUGGGCGUAAAGAGCUCGUAGGCGGUUCAGUAAGUCAGGUGUGAAAUCUUUGGGCUUAACCCAAAGCGUGCACUUGAUACUGCUGUGACUUGAGUUCGGUAGGGGAGUGGGGAACUCCUAGUGUAGCGGUGAAAUGCGCAGAUAUUAGGAGGAACACCGGUGGCGAAGGCGGGUCUCUGGGCCGAUAUUGACGCUGAGGAGCGAAAGCGUGGGGAGCGAACAGG